rnacentral:rRNA from 1 species
UACGAAGGGGGCUAGCGUUGUUCGGAAUUACUGGGCGUAAAGGGCGCGUAGGCGGUGUGUCAAGUCAGGCGUGAAAGCCCCGGGCUCAACCUGGGAACCGCGCUUGAGACUGGCACGCUAGAGUUCGGGAGAGGAUGGUGGAAUUCCCAGUGUAGAGGUGAAAUUCGUAGAUAUUGGGAAGAACACCGAUGGCGAAGGCAGCCAUCUGGACCGACACUGACGCUGAGGCGCGAAAGCGUGGGGAGCAAAC